AAGGAAAUUCAAAUCAAACUAUUGACGAUGAUAAGUACAAAGAAAAACAAUAAUAAACACACUCACUGAUCCAUUUUAUGUUUGAACAGGGCCACAGCUGGACCCCGGCGUACCCAUCCUGCCUGAGAUGGCCACAUCGACGCCAUCUCCUUUGCGUUGGCCACUAUAUCAGUGGCUGCUCCUCAUCCGGCGUAGUGCUGUGGAAUUCCCUCCCUCCAUGCUGAGAAACUUACACAACCAUGUUCAACAUAACAUACAAUUAUUUGGACUUUAAAACGGCAAAGGAACAAGAUUCAUAAACCACGCAGUAGGACGAGCGAAAC